CGGUCUAAAUUACUUAACGCUGAGAGGUCCAAAAGCCAAAACUCCCGCAUUCUGCUAAUUCCACUUUCGACAAAAUUCUAACGAAAAAGGGUUCUCUCCAUAGCAGAAAACCAGUUGCAGUGGUGAAAGGAUUUCUGCCAUUUGAGGGUUUUUUUGCCGUCGUCGUCAACGAUUCUUAAGAGCAAGCACAAGAGGAUAUGAAAUUUGGCUAGCAGAGUGUCUUGGAUACGAUUACUGACUUCUUUAGAGUAGCUUUUGGGAGUGUGGGGGUGUUGGUGGUGGUGGGAUCUUCGUUCCCAUGUUUACCCUUGUGAAAUAAUCAACAACAAUAUCAAGAUGUAAGAGAUAUGUUGUUAUUGUUUCCUCUUAAGCUUUCUUUAGUAGUGUCAUAGACCUGACUUGUUUGGAAGAAACUCUGCAAUUAUGUUAAACCCUUUCUAUAAAGGGAAAGAGUUGUAAAUUCUUCUACUUUAUAGAAUGAGGAGAAAAUUAAGUGGGAAGAAAAGAUUUUUCAACUCAAAUCCUUUCUUAAGAUAUGAUUUUAAUUCUAUGCUUUUCUAGAUAAAUUUUGGUUGACUUAUUUUUUAAUCUAUUACUAUAAGAGGAUAGCUUACUUUUUUAAGUAAUCCUGGUUCAUCUGAAAUUUUUUCUUUUUUUUUUUUUGAAUUUAUAUGAGGGUAAUUUACAUUUCAAUUUGUCCUAAUCUUCUAAUUUUGAGUCUUUGAGGAUGUAAUCGAGGCCUUUCCCUUGAGCUUCAUUCUUGUUCUUGGGUUCUUAAAUAUAGCAUCUCAAGAUACAUUGUUUCUGUAUUUCUUUCUAGUUCUUUGUAUUCACAUGCUUAUUUAACUUAUUUCUUCCUAAAGAUAUUUGAGAAUCCUACCAUUCUAAAAUUUCUUCAUAUGAGAAUUGUUCUUUUUUCUUCUCAUUCAGGUGGUUUAGUUUAAUUAUUGAACUUUUAUAUGUGUUCAUGUUUCAAAUAUAUAUUAGAAUUUUGGUUCUGACCAUUCUAUACUAUAGAUGGAUAGAGAUAUUUUUAUCCUGUUCUAUACAUAAUCAAGCAGGAUUAAGACAUAACUUAUAGUUUUGGCCUUCUAUUGAUGACUAAAUUGCUGGAUUAUAAUAAGAAAUGGUGGUCAAUGAAAUGCUUUGAACCAGAAGUAAGAAACAAAAUUGCACCUUAAUAGUUUGAUUUAUUUUCAGAUUUAAUAGGAAGAAAACAAAUGAUACUGGUCAUAGAGUAUUUCUUUCUUGACUAUGAACAACCUAGAUGUGGCCUACUACUUUGUUUGUUGGCAUGUCUUAAUCUACAAUUUGAAACCAACUUUUAGGGAUCAUGUUUGAUAAAGAGUGCUUGUGAUUGGUGUUUGGAGUUUAGGAUUUGUUCUUCUAUUAGGGUUGGGAACCGGUUUAGGUUUCUUUUUUGACAUUUGCCUGUAGCUCAUAUAUGAUAUAUAAUAUAUCCAUUUACCCUAGUUUUUGUUCCAUCUUCUUUAUUAGAAUUGUUGGCUCAUUUAUUCACUCUUGAGUUGGCUUAGGAGUGUAGAUUACAAUAAACUCUAGUUGGGUUGCAUUACUCAAAAGUGAAUUAAGUGUUUGGGUCAUAUAGGACUAGCUAGGGGAGGUAGCAAUAGGUUAGAUCACAUUCAGUUUGGUCAUAUUGGAUCCAGUAGGAGAGAGGAGAUGAAAAAUUUGCUCUUUCUAUUAUUGCUCAUAGUAGUUUCUAUCAUUUUGUUAUGAACCAUUUGGUUGGUCCAUAAGAAAACUCGCAGUAUGGUUGAAAAAACUGGGCCCCACUUUUGUCAAAGUUGUAAAAAAGUGACUUUUUGUAACCAUGCAACCCAUUUGGUGGUAUUCUACAGCCUAUUGCUUUUAGUUUUUUGAAUCAUGCAAACCCAAAAGAGAGUAUCAUGCUUGCAUGAGUUUGGGUGUGGGCCAAGCAACUUGCCACCUGGGUAUUAUUAUAUAAUACAUUAAAAAAGCUUGUUAGUACCAUAAAGCAGUGGAGAUAAUUGCAAGACCCUGGGAUUUGUGGUCCUGGAAUCAGAACUUUGGAGGUUCCUGAUAAUAAUUGAUCAAUGCUUGCAUUAUGCUUUAAAUCAGAACUUUGGAGGUUCCUAAAAGCUGUAAUGGGGAAGCAAGAUUCACAUUCGAUUAUCUAUGUGAUCGCCUGGUAGUAUGUCUGCCCCUGUAUGAUAAAAAUAGUAUUAUAGUUAACCUAACUUUUAUUUGAUCUUGAUCUAAUGAGUUAUUUAAACAUUGAUCUUAUAAUUCUAGUGCUAAUAGCAGUAUUUUUGCUGCUAGUGAAUGUUAAUCCUUUUUCAAUUUUUUUUUAUCAGCAUUCUUUUGUCAAAUGUUCCGUUAGUAUUGAAUUUAUGAGAAAUUGUAGGACCCACCUAAAUUAGAUCAAAACUUUUAAUAAUUGGGAGCAAUUUUCAGACCAUGUCAGGAGAUCUUGAGAUGGAGCUCAAUCUAGCUCAGACUGAGGAUGUCUCUUAAUUGAGAGGAUCUCAGGCGACUAUGUAGCUAAUCCCAAAUAGUAUCUUAUGGUGGCCAUUAGUUUUUUAUGUUUUGGUUAGUUAUGGUGGCCGACCAAUCUUAUUCUGGAAUUCAUAAAUCUAGAAGUGGCAGACUUCAAGACUUCCAUUACUUUUAUAUUGGUAUUUGGAGCAACUUCUUGCUCCCACUUUUGAUCAGUUUUCGUUUAUCUGUUAUUGCAUUGAUCAUGUCUUUAAAUCCUUGUGCUUUGAAACAAAUAAUGUGGCUGUGGACAUGUGUUUUGCAUCUGUAUUUACUUAGUAGUCAGUUAUUCAUAAUAGAUGAAAUGAUACUUAGCCUUUCCAAGGGAGGAAAUAGAGAAGCAGGAGUUGCUGCUGGAAUUUCUUUUGCAGCUACAACAAAGGAAACAAGAAGCUGCUGACAAGUUGCAUGAUACCAUUUGUUAUCUGUCUUUGACAUUGAAGAAGUUCUGAAGCAACAAAAGAUGCUUAAGAAAAAAAAGGAGGUUUAUACCUAGAUCUGAACAAGGAUGUUUUCAGCUGCAGGCUAUGACAAAAAUCCCUUUGUUUUUCUUUCUUUUACUUUUGCAUUGGAAGAUGUGCUUCAUUAUUAUAGAAUUUGAUUUUUUUUUAAGUUCUUGUACUAUUUAUAUUUCAAUUGGAUAUUGUAUUUGAACAAUGUCUUUUGGAUACUUCAAUAUAUAAUCUUUGAAUUAA